rnacentral:ncRNA from 1 species
GAUAGGGGAGCUUGUGAGACAGGCUGAGAGGAAACAGGAGUUUCGACCCUUUGACCUGAUGCGGAUAAUGCCGCCGUAGGAAUCAAUAUAUGAU